rnacentral:rRNA from 1 species
UACGUAGGGUGCGAGCGUUAAUCGGAAUUACUGGGCGUAAAGCGUGCGCAGGCGGUUCGUUGUGUCCGUCGUGAAAGCCCCGGGCUUAACCUGGGAACUGCGAUGGAAACUAGCGAGCUGGAGUGUGGCAGAGGGGGGUGGAAUUCCGCGUGUAGCAGUGAAAUGCGUAGAGAUGCGGAGGAACACCGAUGGCGAAGGCAGCCCCCUGGGCCGACACUGACGCUCAGGCACGAAAGCGUGGGGAGCAAACAGG